AUUGAACGCUGGCGGCAUGCUUUACACAUGCAAGUCGGACGGCAGCGGGGUAGUGCUUGCACUACUGCCGGCGAGUGGCGAACGGGUGAGUAAUAUAUUGGAACGUACCGAGUAAUGGGGGAUAACCAAUCGAAAGAUUGGCUAAUACCGCAUACGCUCUGAGGAGGAAAGCAGGGGACCUUCGGGCCUUGCGUUAUUCGAGCGGCCAAUAUCUGAUUAGCUAGUUGGUGGGGUAAGGGCCUACCAAGGCGCCGAUCAGUAGCGGGUCUGAGAGGAUGAUCCGCCACACUGGGACUGAGCCACGGCCCAGACUCCUACGGGAGGCAGAAGUGGGGAAUUUUGGACAAUGGGCGCAAGCCUGAUCCAGCCAUGCCGCGUGUCUGAAGAAGGCCUUCGGGUUGUAAAGGACUUUUGUUAGGGAAGAAAAAGGAGCGGUUAAUACACGUUUCUGCUGACGGUACCUAAAGAAUAAGCACCGGCUAACUACGUG
rnacentral:rRNA from 1 species